AUUGAACGCUGGCGGCAGGCCUAACACAUGCAAGUCGAGCGAGCGGCGGACGGGUGAGUAAUGUAUGGGGACUGCCCGAUAGAGGGGGAUAACUACUGGAAACGGUAGCUAAUACCGCAUACUAUCGGAUAACCCAUAUGGGAUUAACUAGUAGGUGAGGUAAUGGCUAACCAAGGCGACGAUCCCUAGCUGGUCUGCGAGGAUGAUCAGCCACACUGGGACUUGGCCACGGCCCAGACUCCUACGGAGGCAGCAGUGGGGAAUAUUGCACAAUGGGCUCAAGCAUUAUGCAGCCAUGCUGCGUGUAUGAAGAAGGCCCUAGGGUUGUAAAGUACUUUCAGUCGUGAGGCGUUACCGACAGAAGAAGCACCGGCUAACUCCGGGCCAGCAGCCGCGGUAAUUC
rnacentral:rRNA from 1 species